UGGUUGGGAAGCCUUUCUAUUCCGUGCUC
rnacentral:piRNA from 1 species